rnacentral:rRNA from 1 species
CGCGUAGGCGGCCAAUUAAGUCAAAUGUGAAAUCCCCGCGCUUAACGUGGGAAUUGCAUUCGAUACUGGUUGGCUAGAGUAUGGGAGAGGAUGGUAGAAUUCCAGGUGUAGCGGUGAAAUGCGUAGAGAUCUGGAGGAAUACCGAUGGCGAAGGCAGCCAUCUGGCCUAAUACUGACACUGAGGUGCGAAAGCAUGGGGAGCAAACAGGAUUAGAUACCCUAGUA